CCUACGGGCGGCAGCAGUGGGGAAUAUUGGACAAUGGGGGGAACCCUGAUCCAGCCAUGCCGCGUGUGUGAAGAAGGCCCUCGGGUUGUAAAGCACUUUCAGUGAGGAAGAACGCCUGGUGGUUAAUACCCAUCAGGAAAGACAUCACUCACAGAAGAAGCACCGGCUAACUCCGUGCCAGCAGCCGCGGUAAUACGGAGGGUGCGAGCGUUAAUCGGAAUUACUGGGCGUAAAGCGCGCGUAGGUGGCUUGAUAAGCCGGUUGUGAAAGCCCCGGGCUGAACCUGGGAACGGCAUCCGGAACUGUCAAGCUAGAGUGCAGGAGAGGAAGGUAGAAUUCCCGGUGUAGCGGUGAAAUGCGUAGAGAUCGGGAGGAAUACCAGUGGCGAAGGCGGCCUUCUGGACUGACACUGACACUGAGGUGCGAAAGCGUGGGUAGCAAACAGGAUUAGAUACCCUUGUAGUC
rnacentral:rRNA from 1 species